AGAAGCAAGUAAGUUAAAUUAGAAUUGGAAAAUGGCAUGUAUGGUAAUUUUAAGGAACAUUAUGGGCAAAGGUGAAACUAAUACUUUUCAUAUGCCAAAGUAAUGAAAAGAAGCAAGUAAGUUAAAUUAGAAUUGGAAAAUGGCAUGUAUGGUAAUUUUAAGGAACAUUAUGGGCAAAGAUGAAACUAAUACUUUUCAUAUGACUUGCACAUGACUAUGGCAGCCAUACAACAUCCCUUAAACCAUCUUUAAGUGCAGAAAAUAAAAAGAAAGGAGAGAGGGAGAAGGUGGCUGAACCAAAGGAGAAGAAACAGGGAGGUGGAACCAAGCUUUCCAACUUGAAUUUUUCACUCCAAAUCAAAAUAAGGGGAAGGAAAAGAAUACAGAUGAGUAGAAGCAGCACCCGUUGCUACAGAAAUCAAAAGCUAAGCCAACUGAUGUAGGUGACUUGGUUCCUUAAUUUUGAGUUCAUAUGAUGUUAUCCAUUGUAACAGGAAUUUUUUUUUUAAUAUCUGAGCAGUAUAAAAUAAUAUUUUGUUAUUUUUAUAUAAAUAUAUAACUCUGUGAAUUGAUUUAUAUUUUAUUUGAACAAAGGACACUAGUAUGCAAUUCUGAUACCCAUGGGAUUAUGAGUAAUGGAUUUGCCACUGGUU